GAUGAACGCUGGCGGCGUGCCUAAUACAUGCAAGUCGAGCGAAUGGAUUAAGAGCUUGCUCUUAUGAAGUUAGCGGCGGACGGGUGAGUAACACGUGGGUAACCUGCCCAUAAGACUGGGAUAACUCCGGGAAACCGGGGCUAAUACCGGAUAACAUUUUGAACCGCAUGGUUCGAAAUUGAAAGGCGGCUUCGGCUGUCACUUAUGGAUGGACCCGCGUCGCAUUAGCUAGUUGGUGACGUAACGGCUCACCAAGGCAACGAUGCGUAGCCGACCUGAGAGGGGGAUCGGCCACACUGGGACUGGGACACGGCCCGGACUCCUACGGGAGGCAGCAGUAGGGGAUCUUCCGCAAUGGACGAAAGUCUGACGGAGCAACGCCGCGUGGGUGAUGAAGGCUGUCUGGUCGUAAAACUCUGUUGUUAGGGAAGAACAAGUGCUAGUUGAAUAAGCUGGCACCUUGACGGUACCUAACCAGAAAGCCACGGCUAACUACGUGCCAGCAGCCGCCGUAA
rnacentral:rRNA from 1 species